rnacentral:rRNA from 1 species
GACGAACGCUGGCGGCGUGCUUAACACAUGCAAGUCGAACGAAGUGGCGAACGGGUGAGUAACGCGUAAUCAACCUGCCCUUCAGAGGGGGACAACAGUUGGAAACGACUGCUAAUACCGCAUACUGAAGGAGGGGAUUGCGUCUGAUUAGCUAGUUGGAGGGGUAACGGCCCACCAAGGCGAUGAUCAGUAGCCGGGCUGGGAGGGUGGACGGCCACAUUGGGAACGAGACACGGGCCAGACUCCUACGGGAGGCAGCAGUGGGGAAUCUUCCGCAAUGGACGAAAGUCUUGCGGCGGAACGCCGCGGGGGAGAUGACGGCCUUCGGGUUGUAAAGCUCUGUUAAGCGGGACGCGGUACCGGAAGAGAAAGCAACGGCUAACUACGUGCCAGCAGCCGCGGUAAUUC